UGGACCCUACUCGGCCUCCUAGUCAGUGGGACAUUCUGGUUUGUCAGCUCCUUCAAACUGGGGAGGGACAAUAGUAUAAUCGGUUUUCGCAUGAAAGGAAACACGAUUGUCUGAGACUCUUCUCCUCCCUGCCUCUCCCUAUUCAUAUCGGGGAUCUUAAAAUCAGGUCCUGUAUCAUGCAAGAAUAUUCUGUCAACUACAUACUUUUAUGUCUGGCACACGCAAACACAUACACACACACACACACAUACAAUUCAUUUUCUUUUGUACUUGAAAUAGGGGCAAAUGGCAGGAACCUCCCUGUUUUCACCCCAUGACUUUUCUUAUGCAGUGUACCCUGAGGAUGCCGUCGGAAUAGUAAGAUUCCAGUUUCAAUGUUUACCGGCCCUCUCAGACAAGCCUUAACGGGUCCAACGGCUGAGUGCGAUUUUGCAGUUUGAGAAAAAUGAAAUUGAAAUUUGGACAUCCCAAAGACAGUCUGAAAGAUUACCUUCACAUCUCCAGAAGUCUGAGAAAAUCAAGUAGAACAAAAGUUCAAGAGAGAAGUUCCGAGCCUUGCUGGGUUGCGCUGGAAGCAGAAGCUUAUGGAGUACUUGGGAAUUAACUUAUUUACACUGUCCUAACACUCAGAUAUGCUACCAUUGAGGAUAUUUCACCAGCCGUUCCAAUGACCGAAACUCUUUAAAAACACGAGGAACAUCACGGCAGUCUUCGUGUGUGUCACCCAGUGACAUUCUGCAGCUCGAGAACGACAUGUAACAAUUUGUAAACCUGUUAAGGCAGAUUAGCAGAGUACUGCAUCAGAAUACCUUUAGGCGAGGGAGGUAAGAGGGAGAGAAGAAUGAGGGAAACACAUGAGGGUAACAUCUGCAAUGAAUAAAAACAUAAUUCUAGACCCAGGA